GAUGAACGCUGGCGGCGUGCCUAAUACAUGCAAGUCGAACGAAACUUCUUUAUCACCGAGUGCUUGCACUCACCGAUAAAGAGUUGAGUAGCGAACGGGUGAGUAACACGUGGGCAACCUGCCCAAAAGAGGGGGAUAACACUUGGAAACAGGUGCUAAUACCGCAUAACCAUAGUUACCGCAUGGUAACUAUGUAAAAGGUGGCUAUACUACCGCUUUUGGAUGGGCCCGCGGCGCAUUAGCUAGUUGGUAGGGUAAAGGCUUACCAAGGCAAUGAUGCGUAGCCGAAUUGAGAGGUUGAUCGGCCACAUUGGGACUGAGACACGGCCCAAACUCCUACGGGAGGCAGCAGUAGGGAAUCUUCCACAAUGGGCGAAAGCCUGAUGGAGCAACGCCGCGUGGGUGAAGAAGGUCUUCGGAUCGUAAAACCCUGUUGUUAGAGAAGAAAGUGCGUGAGAGUAACUGUUCACGUUUCGACGGUAUCUAACCAGAAAGCCACGGCUAACUACGUG
rnacentral:rRNA from 1 species